GUGCCUAUACAUGCAAGUCGAACGCGUUGGCCCAAUUGAUUGAUGGUGCUUGCACCUGAUUGAUUUUGGUCGCCAACGAGUGGCGGACGGGUGAGUAACACGUAGGUAACCUGCCCAGAAGCGGGGGACAACAUUUGGAAACAGAUGCUAAUACCGCAUAACAACGUUGUUCGCAUGAACAACGCUUAAAAGAUGGCUUCUCGCUAUCACUUCUGGAUGGACCUGCGGUGCAUUAGCUUGUUGGUGGGGUAAUGGCCUACCAAGGCGAUGAUGCAUAGCCGAGUUGAGAGACUGAUCGGCCACAAUGGGACUGAGACACGGCCCA
rnacentral:rRNA from 1 species